rnacentral:rRNA from 1 species
CAGGGAUUGACAUGACGGUAGUAGUGAAGCGAAAGCGGAACGACCCUUCGGGGAGCCGUCACAGGUGAUGCAUGGCUGUCGUCAGCUCGUGCCGUGAGGUGUUUGGUUAAGUCCACUAACGAGCGCAACCCCUAGUGCCAGUUACAAGUGUCUGGCGCGACUGCCGGUAUUAAGCCGGAGGAAGGUGGGGAUGACGUCAAGUCAGCAUGUCCUUUAUACCCUGGGCGACACACACGCUACAAUGGCCAGCACAAUGGGUCGCCAAGCCGUGAGGCGGAGCCAAUCCUAAAAAGCUGGUCUCAGUUCGGAUUGCAGGCUGCAACCCGCCUGCAUGAAGUCGGAGUUGCUAGUAACCGCAGG